UGAGCAGCUGGUCCCACCACCCAGCUUGGGUCAGGGCCCCAGAGAAAAAGGAAGGUGUGCAGACCAUCUAUGGGAAGGAAGAUGGGGUCCUCCGGAGCUCCGAGCUGAGGAUCCCCUCAUCAAGAGCCUACUGUGCCUGUCUCUCUGCCCAGGUCCUCUCACGACCUAUGAGGGUGGGCCUGCACCAGAGCAGGAGGCGUUGGGAUAUUGACAGUGUUUGAUCAUUGCUGUAUUUAUAGGGCUUGAUGAAGAUAAAAAUAAAGUGAGGAGGAGCCCG
rnacentral:lncRNA from 1 species